rnacentral:sRNA from 1 species
AUUAGAAGGAAGGGCAAAAAAAACUAAA